AGCCCUGGGUUCAAAUCUCCGUUUUAUAUAAACCAGGAUGGUGAUUUGUGUCUGUAACUAGGUACUAGGGAGAUGGAAGCAGAUGGAUCAGAAUUCAAGGUCAUUUCUCAACUAAGUAGAUGGAACCAGUAAGAGACCGCAACUCUCUGCCUCCGGAGCCUUGCCUGCCUCUCUCCCUGGAGCAGUGGACCGCAGCGACCUCCCCCAGUGCAAUCUCUUCCUGCCCUGACACUCACGUAGCCAGUUGAGACGCUCAGACACCUGCUCAAGGCCCCACAUUGAAUGGCACAGAAGAUGUGAAGCCUACACCCCAUCUAUUUAAGGCCCCCUGACACCCAUCACAGCUCCUUC